AUCAAGAUAAUCCCUAUGAGUCCCACCAUCCACCAGUGACACCUAGCAGCAUGUAGUGGCCACCCAGCAGAAUGGAAUGAUGAACCUCUAGGUGCAGUUAACGUGUGAUACAGUCCUACUAUCGUGGAUCCCUACAGGACGGAGGUCAUGGACAACUCGUCAAACCCCAUCGUCUGUCAUAUGUCAAGAUUUAUUCGACUCGAGUUCGAUAGUGGAAAACUCUUUUUCCACUUUAUAUUACUGCCCUGGCCAAGGUCUUAGAACUCAGUCUAAUAAAUCACAUAGGAUCACUCCUCUUCUAUCAAGAUCGAUAGAUUCCUUAUAGGUGCAUACCCUACUCCUACAGUGAACCUACUGCAGCCA
rnacentral:lncRNA from 1 species